rnacentral:misc_RNA from 1 species
GCUGGUUCUGUUUGUGUGUGACGUAAUGCAGCAGAUUUUCACGGUUUAUCCGUGGGCCCAGGACUGUGGUGUUCCCCGGCAGGCCAGAGGCCGUGGGCGAUGGACUUCAGGAAUUACAACUGUCUCGUCAUAAAUACCUGGCCAGUGAGAUGGAGUUGUACCACUUCUAUCAGUCCAGACAUUUGUCAAAGAAGUGCAGUUUAUGAAUGACCAAGUGGAUGAAGCGGCCACACUCUCACCGGUCCAGAUAUUCCUCAAAGAAGAAGAAGGUGCAUAUUGUAAGGCAGAAGAGCCUGUGCUGGUCUCACUUGUCCCAGUGCUUCUCAAAGAAGAACAUGUGCUUGAUGAAUCGCCGGAGGACUUUGAAGUUGGCAGUCACCCAUUGCUAAUAAAUCUGAGUUUCUGAAGUGAAAGUCCAAAGAAGAGAAGACAGCAAGAAGUAGCUAUUUGU